rnacentral:rRNA from 1 species
UCUGGUGAACAUACUGAAAAGGUCACACCUGUACCCAUUCCGAACACAGUCGUUAAGCUUUUCAGGCCGAUGAUAGUGCCCACCAGCGCGAAAGUAGGUACCGCCAGAU